rnacentral:rRNA from 1 species
AACGAACGCUGGCGGCAGGCUUAACACAUGCAAGUCGAGCGCCCUGCUUGCAGGGAGCGGCAGACGGGUGAGUAAUGCAUGGGAAUCUACCCAGCUCUACGGAAUAACUCAGGGAAACUUGAACUAAUACCGUAUGCGCCCUUCGGGGGAAAGAUUUAUCGGAGUUGGAUGAGCCCAUGUCUGAUUAGCUAGUUGGUGGGGUAAAGGCCUACCAAGGCGACGAUCAGUAGCUGGUCUGAGAGGAUGAUCAGCCACACUGGGACUGAGACACGGCCCAGACUCCUACGGGAGGCAGCAGUGGGGAAUAUUGGACAAUGGGGGCAACCCUGAUCCAGCCAUGCCGCGUGAGUGAUGAAGGCCCUAGGGUUGUAAAGCUCUUUCACCGGUGAAGAUAAU